CCUACGGGCGGCUGCAGUGAGGAAUAUUGCGCAAUGGGGGAAACCCUGACGCAGCGACGCCGUGUGAGCGAUGAAGGCCUUCGGGUCGUAAAGCUCUGUCAGAGGGGAAGAAAGGGGAUAUGGUUAAUACCCAUGUCCAUUGACGGUACCCUUUGAGGAAGCACCGGCUAACUCCGUGCCAGCAGCCGCGGUAAUACGGAGGGUGCGAGUGUUAUUCGGAAUCACUGGGCGUAAAGAGCACGUAGGCGGAUCGGUAAGUCAGAUGUGAAAUCCCGGAGCUCAACUCCGGAACUGCAUUUGAUACUGCCAGUCUUGAGUGAGGUAGAGGGGGGUGGAAUUCCCGGUGUAGAGGUGAAAUUCGUAGAUAUCGGGAGGAACACCAGAGGCGAAGGCGACCCCCUGGGCCUUUACUGACGCUGAGGUGCGAAAGCGUGGGGAGCAAACAGGAUUAGAUACCCCAGUAGUC
rnacentral:rRNA from 1 species